rnacentral:lncRNA from 1 species
GGCGGCGCCUGCGGAGAGCGGAGACCCGGCUGGGAGAGCUGGAGCGGCGGCGGGCCCAGGACAUGAGAGACGUGGAAAGCUACGUGGGCCACGUCCGUGCCCUGACAGAAGAGAGGGAUGCCAUUGCCUCUGAGUAUGAGAAGGAGAACGAGCAGCUCAGGUUGGAGCUGGCCCAGCUACAGCUGCAGCAGGGCAGUUCCUGAUCCGUUUGUGAUGCUCUCGCUGAACGCGCCGGGUGUUGUUGGAGGGCAGAUCGAUGGUGCUCCCAAAAGCCUUCCUGAAAAACAACUGCAGUGCACUGAAACACAGUGCAGGGGAGCUGCCUGGAUUUAUUUAAAAAGUGGAAUAAAAAGAAGACACAGUCAUGGGCUGAGCUUGUUUGUUGUAACAGCUGGGCUGGUUAAACACACCCAGCGGGGCUGUGGUGGGGCGAGGUGGCUGCUGUUUCUCUGAGUAUUCCUGGGGUAGGAAAAUACAAAUAUUAAUAUAAAAUUUGCUUCCAAACAAGCAUGGACAGAGGUAGGAGAUGCCAGGGGAGCUGUUGUGUGACAGUGCCUGGGGCAGGGGUUGGCUUUUCCCAAACACUGGAUGGAGGAGGGAAGGGGUUUGUAAGGAGUCAGUAGAGUUUACUCAUAGGUAACCUGUGCUGUGUGGGCAGAGCCCCCUCAUCCGCACAAAUCCUUUUUCCUCUCCAGCCUCUGGAAUAUGUCUGGGAUCUAAAAUGAUGCCACUUCAUCCUGCAUUGCAGGCUGGGGACAAGGGAGACACUUCUAGGAGUGUAUCUUUUGUUGAGGGAGUGACAAAACUAUUUUUUGUCUCCUUAAAAAGGAAAGAAGCUUAGAAGGUUUUAUUUUUCAUUUAGGUGAAAAAAGCUACUUCAUAGGCUUAGGG